GGGGCGUUAGCUCAGCCGGUUAGAGCAGGGGACUCAUAAUCCCUUGGUCGUGGGUUCAAGUCCCACACGCCCUA
rfam:Sinomonas sp. R1AF57 chromosome.